AACCGAGGUGACUCCCUCUCCACGGGGCCUGAUGGGGCCUCUUCAGGAACGUAGCAACUUGGAAUAAAAUCUGGCCUCUGGGUUUUGGGUGCGAAGGUGAUGCGUGAGGUCCUUGGCCUGCCUUUGGCCGCUCACUUAU